GCGCCCGCGGCCUCUGGGCCUCGUCAGCCUGCUCGGCCGCAGCAGGAGCUGCGGACGCUGCGGGGAGAAAGGCGGGGACCGAAAGGGCGGGCUCCGGGAGGUGGGGCGCCGCGACGUGGGCGCCGUGAGGGCCGCACGCGGGGGGCACCGGGGGCCUGCUUCCGGGGCUCGCGACCCGCGGGCUCCGUCCGGGUCUCCGGACAGCAGCGGGUUGCGCCACAGGCUUUUUCCCGGGGCCGCUCGGGGCGGGGCGGCGCACUGCAGAGGCUCCGGGUCGCCGCCCGUUGAGGGAAACGGUGGGGGGCCGGAGCGUCUGCUUGCACAACCCCCUUCUCGGGCCCGCCGGGGAUCCCGGAGCGGCUGCGGGUCUGGGGCCGGCGUCCGCCUCGCGGUCUUCACUCACCGCUGAAAACGAAUACCCUGUCCGCGCGUGGAGAUGCAAAGCACUGAAAACCGCAGCGGGGACCCGAGUUGCCCUUUAGGACAGACUGUCGCUCCCUGGGAAGAUUCCUCUCGCGACCACAGCCUGUUGUCUGGGGACAGCUAAGGAGAACACUGCCCAAAACUGGACCUGAAGCCACAAGCUCUUUCCAACUUCAUCAGUGACCUUGGACGCCUCUGCUAAACAAGGUGUCUCUGUUGAAUUUCCUGAUUCUGGGGAUAAACGUGGCUAUUCACUUUCUAACUCUACGGAGGUCAUCUUCAUCAAGAACUUUCCACCUGCCUCAGGUCUUGGGAGAGCCAAUCACUGCCCAUUUAUAUGUGUUACCCAGUGAGCUGUGCACUAUUAUCAUCCUCUUUUUACAGAUGAAGAAAUUGAGGUCCAAGGAUGAUUAAUAAAGUUCUGGCCAGCUGUGUUCUGGCCAGCUGUAUGACCUUGGACAAGAUACUGAACUUGGCUAAGUGGAUUGUCCUCAUCUAUAAAACGAGGACAAACUUUGCUGUCUGCCAGAAGACUUCAAGGCUUGAAUGAGGCAGCAUCUGUGGAGCUCUUUGUGAACUGCAAAGCCACUUGUACUGUAAAGUAUUAAUGAACUGCCCAUUCUACUCCCUAAUGUAUGUACUUUUACCGCUGGUUGUGAUGUCGCACAAUCCACUAUCUCAGAUAGGCUUCCAUUAUUUCUUUAAUGCCCUGCACAGCCAAACAUCUGUCCCUGGCUUCUUCGUGUCUUCCUGGAGGGCAGAUCUCUUUAGUCUGCUCCUGGCUAAAGGCUAUCGUCAGAGAAAGUACAACUUGCUUUUUCUGAAACCAAAGACAUUUCAGCUUUGAAUUCCUAGUCAUUAUGCUAUUUAUUGAUUGUGCACAUGUUUAUUGUGCCUAUUCUGUCAGACCCUGCUCUCAGCACUGAGAUUUGGUCACCUGAUGGAUGUCUUCUGUUUGCCCCUGCAGAUCUGGACUCCAGCCUUCUCCAGUCUGCUCUUUACCCCCAGAGGCUGAUCUGUGGGGACUGCUGGCUCCCUUUAGUGUUCAGUUCCAGAAAGGGUCAGCAGGCAGUUUAAGGGAUGGUUGGAGGGAGGGAGUUAAGGCAUGUAUUUUCCAGGCUCCCUUCUAAAGAGAGACCGUGGGCCAGCAGUACCCUUCCACUAUAGGUCCUCUCUCUUGUUGUUGGUCCUCUCCAACAGCCUCUCAUUCUCUGGGCUCCAGUGCCCUGUAGGCCGAGAAGUGACUCAGGCCCUGAGUGCUGCACUGCCCCUGUGCAACAGAAGUCAUGCAGUAGUCCCUUGGUAAAUGGUCUCUUAUUAAACUUUCUCCAGCUACUCAUCUGCUUCCUGCUGGGGCCCUGGUAGAUUUAAGCAAUAAACAAGAUGUAGAAGACCUUGCUCUUUAUGGGACUUACAUCCUAGAGGCAAAGAUAGAUAAUUAACAAACAACAAUAAGCAAAAUCAUAAUCAUAAUAAAUAGUGAUAUUACCUUUGUGAAAAGAAAAGUUUAUUUGAUAGAAAGAAUCUAGGGUGUUGGGCAAGGUACAACGUUAGACAGGGUAGCAGGAAAAACUUUUUAAAAUUUUUUUCAAUGUUUAUUUUUGAGAGAGAGAGAGACAGAGAGAAAGAGAGAGAGACAGAGUGCAAGUAGGGGAGGGGCAGAGAGAGAGGGAGACACAGAAUAGGAGGCAGGCUCCAGGCUCUGAGCUGUCAGCACAGAGCCUGAUGCAGGGUGGACUGCGAGAUCAUGACCUGAGCUAAAGUCAGAUGCUCAACCGACUGAGCCACCCAGGCGCCCCAGCAGGGGAAACUUUUCAGAGGAGGUAAUAUUUAAUUUGAGAUCAUAUUGACAAAGUGAUGAGGGAGAAUAAAGUGCAGGCAGAGGAAAAGCACUGGUACAAAGGUCCUGAGGUAGGAAUGAGAACAAAGAACAUAGAGAAGGCUGGGGUGGCUGGACAUCAUGAAUUCAGAGUGUAAGGGUAGGAAAUAAGGAAAUCCUGAAAGUGACCAAGUGUCAAGGCACCCAGCCUAACAAUGAUAAUAUAGUAGUAUAGGAUAUUUGGUUGGUAAGGUACAUGCUCCAAGAUGUUUUGUUACAUAUACCAGAUAUUUCUGCCUACCUACCUGGAGAUUUCAGAAGGACAACAGAUGAAUAAUAAUUUCCCCUCACUGGAAAAUACAAGUCUUAUUUGUAUCUCUGAAUUAUAUUUUUCAAAAAUUGCACUGUGUUUUUUACAGGUCAGGGUCAAACAUUCUCCAUCCCUCCUCUCCAGAUUCUUUUUUAAAAAACAUGCCUUGGGCUUCUGUCUCAGUCUGCCAUUUUCCAUCUCUGCGUGUCAUCCACAUGUCUAGACCUGGGAAUGUUUUAUGCCUUUUCAAAACUCUCUUCCAGAGAGCAAGCCAGUCAUGCUUACAGCUCAUUACUUCUCAGAUCAAGCUUCCCUUGUGAUUUUCCCCCUUAAAAAAUGUAGAACCAGUGCCUCUGAUACCAUGUUUGGGAAGAUCAGGCCCCUCACUGCAGGUGUCCGACUCUUGUAAAACUUUCUUAUCUCACAACCCUACAAGCCUUGCGGCUGUCUUCACAGUGGUACUGGGAGCCUCCAACACAGCAGCUGAGUCUACAGUUGGACCGCCUACAAUGCCCUGAUGAUCACAGAUAUGGUGAAGGGGAGCAAAAUAUACCACUUCAAGAUAGGCCUUUUUGGCAUAUUGAUUAUUUUGAGCUGGUUAUUUUUAAGAGACUGCAGACAUGGGAGAAGCACUGAAAACUGAGCAGAUGUUACCCUUUUGUAAGAGACAUUUACAUUUAUAAGGGGAAUCUUCAUUUGUAAGACUGUCUUCCUCUCUGUUUGGGAAGAGAAGGAUGACUAAAUUUCCAGAAACUCUUAUCAAUGAAAAAGGCAAGGGCUUAAAACCUGAUGACAACCUUACCCUGUUUACGUGCUUUUCCUAAUAACUUCCAAUAACUGCCCUCCUCCUCCCCAACAUCUUUUUUGUUUGUUUGUUUGUUUGUUUGUUUGUUUUUAGCUGGAGAUGUUAUUUGAGGUGGUGGCUUAGGCCCUUCCAGGGGACUUACUCAGUUUUCCUGCGUUUUUCUUAUGUGUACGGGAGAAAUAUAUGUUAUUAAACUUCUGGGGCUUUUUUUCCUGUUAAUUUGUCUGUUAUCACAGUGGGGUCUCAGCCAAGAACCUGCGAGGGUAGAGGGCACAUUGUUUUUCUUCAUAUACAAUGUAAAACACCUGUCUUUGAGAAAAAUUUUUGAAGCAAAUUCUUUAAAAUUCCAACUUAAAAAAAAUUUAAACUGAGACUAUAUCAAGGAUAAUUGAGUCUCUUUACAUCGAGCAUAAAAAGGGUAAGUGAUGUUUGUGAUUAAUGAAUCAGUACCCGGAGACUACACUUAAUGUUUGAUUAGUAUAUUUGACUCUUGGGUUUAAUAGUACCUUCCAAGAAACAGAAUUACAUUGGGUCAUUCAACAUUUAGGAAGAGGAACUUGGUGAAACGCUAGAAUUUCAAGAUAUAAUAGUUUUCUGGGAAUUUGCUCAAUGUGGGGCUUGGUAAGUGGAAACCUUGGAACUUAAAAUUCAUUCCAUAUCUGGAGUUUUGGCUCUCUGUUGAAAUGCUGUGGGCAGUAACACAUGUGGAACAUUCACAAUCAUGUCUAGACUAGAGAGAGAGGGAGAGGACUUGUGGAUGAGGUAAAUUGUUGGGUGACUGACAUCCCAUUUAAAAACUUGUAUUUGUGAUUUCUAAUUCUGACUUCCGCAUUACUAUAUGAAAACCACUAGAUGGCAGGAGUGAACAACAUAAAAAAUACAACAUGGCUUCUAACUGAAAAAACUAGUUUUAUGUAUCUCUUGCUUUCCCCACCUCCCCACUUUUCAUAAGCUCUUGUCUUGUCUUGUUUUUUCAUUUUUCCUCUUUCUGUCCCUCAUUGUAUUUGUGUUUCUAGUUAUAAUUUUAAAUAACUGAUCCUCAAGAAUUACACAGCAGUUUGUAAAGAAUCAGACCUGAAAACCAGUCAGCAGUGCUUGUAAUUUGAAUAAUAAAGCAGAAAUUAUUUUCUCUAAUUCAAGAGGUCUUGUAUAACUGCUUUCUAUUUGAGCUGAGGAUAAAACUUCAGAGACUAUUGAGACUCAGAAAGGCUCAUGUUUCAGUCCUGUCCUCACAGAGGCAUGUUGGGGUGGGGGGCGGCUUGUGUGUGCAGAUAAGCAGGACUGAACCAGAGAGAAUGAAAAAGCACAAAGACCUUUGGAGCUCUGUGUAAACCGAUAAGCCAUAUUCUUUCUCAAGAGGCGAUUUGAUAAUGAUCAAGGUGCUGUGCUGAAGUUAUUCCUAAAAACAUCCAACACUCACCACCCCCCC